GGGGACAUGGCACACAAAACUAACUCAACUUAUUGGCACCUUUCAGAGAUAGGUCGAUCAACAAACGGCAGAGGAUGCUGCAAGUGACAACUGGUGCUGCUGCCUUUAAAGGCAAAUUAUUGGCUUUUAAUUAGGAUAUAAGCCACCAAGUUGCUACUUAUAUGAGGGAUCCCAGUAGAAUGAUCAAGCAAAUGAGGCUGAGAACAUCUACUGUUAGUAUAUUUGGAA